GACGAACGCUGGCGGCGUGCCUAAUACAUGCAAGUCGAGCGAAGUCAUAUAGCGGAAGUCUUCGGACGGAAGGUAUAUGUACUUAGCGGCGGACGGGUGAGUAACACGUAGGCAACCUGCCCGUAAGACGGGGAUAACUAGCGGAAACGUUAGCUAAUACCGGAUAGACCUCUUUGGCGCAUGCGAGAGAGGGGAAAGGCGGAGCAAUCUGCCGCUUACGGAUGGGCCUGCGGCGCAUUAGCUAGUUGGAGAGGUAACGGCUCCCCAAGGCAACGAUGCGUAGCCGACCUGAGAGGGUGAUGGGCCACACUGGGACUGAGCCACGGCCCAGACUCCUACGGGAGGCAGCAGUAGGGAAGCUUCGGCAAUGGACGGAAGUCUGACCGAGCAACGCCGCGUGAGUGAGGAAGGUUUUCGGAUCGUAAUGCUCUGUUGCCAGGGAAGAAGGGUAAGGAGAGUCACUGCUCUUUACUUGACGGUACCUGAGAAGAAAGCCCCGGCUAACUACGUGCCAGCCGCCGCGGUAA
rnacentral:rRNA from 1 species